UCCCUUCACUGGGAGGAGACUCUGCAGAGGUAUGGUGGAUAUUUAAAUUGUGUGUUUAAGCCACUGCUACUUUGUGCUCCAAGAUCAGCACAUGCCAGGGCUUAAUUUGCGCCAGACUAUUCUUCACCUAUGUUGUACUGGAGGACAGAGGUCUGACUCCCUCACUUCACAGCACCUUGGAAUAUAAACCCCAAGAAAAGAAGAAAGCUCCCAUAUCAAAGAAAUGUGAUAUAGAAAUGUGAUCAAUCAGUCCCCACUACCUAUGGAACCAUGAGUAUGGAAGUGCACAAAUUAUGAUGGUGAACUUUAGUGAAAAGAGGACUGUUUGCACAGAGGAAGUACUUGAUGUUGGAAAACGCCCUGAGGGUGCCCCUGCAGCCCCGAACUCCGAGCGUCCUCCAGUAUACACAGCUCUGGAAAAGGCAUUUCCCUUCUUCUCAGCGCACUUCAGUGACAUAGAUCAAAUGAUAUAUGUUAAGUUGUGGGUGAACAUAUCAGACGACACAGCGAUUCUUCAAACAGCUCUUGUUUAUUCACAGGCCAGGACAGAACUGAACUGAAGGGUUCAGUCAGCCUGUUUAUAUAGAGCUCCAGUACAAUGUAACUGUAACAAUUUUCUAAAACUAUCCAAUCACUGAACGUCACUUUCGACCCCUUAUUUGCAUAACUAUCUACAGUAUCCCUCUGCUGGCCCAGGGUGAGAACUUCAAUACAUAACACCAUAUGCACAGUAAUCUUCUAGCAUAACACAGCAAGAAACAUGAGACAUUGUAGAGCUAAUCUACGUAUUUAUUUACACACUAUGUACAGACAAAUGAAUCAUGGCGCCCUCUCUCUCCAGCUUGGGAGGAAAAACCGGAACAAGUAAAAGCAAAAGUACAGUACAAUAGUACAUACAGCGGAAGAGAUAAGACUGUCUUCCGUUCCCACAGUGUUCCCAGACAGGCAUGUGAUUUACACCAAUCUCAUCUGCAGCAUCGGAGGCAUGAAAUACUAACACUUGACACACAAACGAAAAACUACAACUGAAAUUAAAAACAAAGCAGGAAGGCCAGAUGGAUGACAAUUGUGUUAUCUGAACCCUCAUAGAUAUUUCUCCUUAGGACUUCAGAGAUACAGACCCCAUCAGGAUUCACUGCUGUCCACUGUGUGUUUGUUGGUCACCAGAGAGGGUUGGUCCAUGCUUCAAAGCUACUGAACGUAUUUUCUCUCAUUCCCUUAUGCAUUCCAAUACAUGCAAAACACUUCCAGCAUCCAUGGCCACAUAUUAUUUCUCUCUCCUCUUGGAAUAUGAAAAACUGAACUGGCUUAACACCUGUCCUCAACAGAUUGGAGUUGCAGUGUCUCCCACACAGGAGACAUAGGGAGCAGAGCUGGGGAGUGGAACAAACAGAAUAUGAAGACAGAAUGCAACAACCUAGAUGGGAUAAGAAACCAGAAAGCCAUCCAACAUGCAGAGAAGCAAGGGUACUCUCCAUUGAAUGCCAUGAAAGAUGCAAGCAUGGCCUACAGUGGCAGCAGAAACCAAUGGGAAGCCAGUUCUUUCUAUGUGAGGUUUUCACUGUUGGCCUCCCAGGGCUCCUGUGUUUUUCAAAAGUGCACAGUAGAUGGAAAUCUAACAGGUUUCGCUGUGCUUUCCACGAAGUAGCAGCAAUGAGGGAAGUUGCACCUGUAACUCCACUGCCUGCCACACAUCUUGUACAAGCAUAGAGGCCCUGCAAGAACAAAAAGUUGGCAACCACAUUCCUCUGUGAACUUACUCUACAACUGAUGCUGAUUGAUAAUUGCUGUGACUGAGCUGUGUCUCUGUUUUGAUUAUGGCUAGCUGAUUCCUCCCUUCACCCCCCACGUGUCUCAACGCGGGUGUCUUCCUGAUGGGUCUGUCUAGCAGACUUUUCCCUUUAUCUGCUUUGCUUACAUCUGUUUUAGACUAUGCUUUUUGUUGAGUUGAUUCACAUGCAGAUAUUUUGGAAUAGCCAAGUAGCUAAACAUCAUUUAACAAUGAAAUAUGUGAAAUAAAGUGCUACAGCUUCUGUUUCAUUUUUCCACUCCAGAAGGGAAGCUCUGGUCAUCUUUGUGUUCUGUCUUCUUCCUUUUUUCAAUACAAACUUCAUUCUUCACUUUCUUAAAAUACUUCUAACAAACAAUCCCGUACAUCCCCACACCCAACAUUCCGCGCAUAUACAAUGUAAAAACCAUACAGUCAAACAUUUUCUGUGUCCCUUCUUGAGCUUGGAUUUUGCUCAGAAUUAUGACUGACAUUUUAAAACUUCUUAAUGAGCUUUCCUGGGAGCAUGCUGCUGUGACAAUUCAAUACUGUUCUGUAUCAAUAGUAAUGUUUUUAAAACAUUUUCAUUAAAUCUUCAACCUACUUAGUCUGCACUUCCUUUGCAAAAUUGUGCUUAUCAACUUAGAGAAAUGCUAAGCUAAUUUUAGAAUAAUAAUCAGACAAUCUACUGAGUUCUUGACUAUUUGUGGGCACUAAUUUGAAAGCUAUAUUAUAGGAACGUGUGAUUUACCUUUUUAAAAAAUA